UACGUAGGGGGCAAGCGUUGUCCGGAAUCAUUGGGCGUAAAGCGCGUGUAGGCGGCUCGGUAAGUCCGCUCUGAAAGCCCGGGGCUCAACCCCGGGAGGCGGGUGGAUACUGCGUGGCUCGGGUACUGGAGAGGAGACUGGAAUUUACGGUGUAGCAGUGAAAUGCGUAGAUAUCGUAAGGAAGACCAGUGGCGAAGGCGAGUCUCUGGACAGUUACCGACGCUGAGGCACGAAGGUCAGGGGAGCAAACGGG
rnacentral:rRNA from 1 species